UUUUAUAUGAGAGUUUGAUCCUGGCUCAGGAUGA
rnacentral:rRNA from 1 species